rnacentral:rRNA from 1 species
UACGUAGGGUGCGAGCGUUAAUCUGAAUUACUGGGCGUAAAGCGUGCUCAGGCUGUUCGUCGUGUCUGAUGUGAAAGCCCCGGGCUCAACCUGGGAAUGGCAUUGGAAACUGGCGGACUAGAGUGUGGCAGAGGGGGGUGGAAUUCCGCGUGUAGCAGUGAAAUGCGUAGAGAUGCGGAGGAACACCGAUGGCGAAGGCAGCCCCCUGGGCUAACACUGACGCUCAGGCACGAAAGCGUGGGGAGCAAACAGG